UAAGUACUAAUGCUUGCUAAAAUGAAAUGUUUUCAUCAAACUUUAGGAAAAAAGUGUGUGGGAGGCGCAGUGGUGUGUAAUUUUACAAAUAUCUAAAUAUUACAUUUGCUUAUACAGUUAAAAAUAAUUAAUUGGGUCCUAUGUAAGUGCCAGGCAAUGUUUGUAAGGGUCAGUAUGUUCAUAUCUGCUCCUUGAUAAUUCUACAUUGUCAUUGAUUCAUGGUUUCAUGUCAACAUCCAAAUAGGAGAAAGCUAGUUUUUAACCUGGUUCUAGAUUUUUAGCAUGGAGUAUUAUUAGUUUCAUUUCCAGCUUCAAAGCUAUGCUUUUAUAACAGCUGUAACAUGAUAGUUAGUAAUACUGUCUCCCUAAUAUGACAAAAGCACAAUAAUUACCAAGCUUUUUACUUAAUUUCUAAACUAUUACUGUAGAGUAAUAUAGUAGAUACUUUUUAACUUGUGCAAUUCUGAAUAUUUAUAGAUGCUUUCAGCCACACUUCUCACUUGAGCUGUACUACUAGUUUAAAUUAAAAAAAAUUAGUUACUGCUGGCAAAUAGCUUUGAAACAUUUGAACUUCAGUAAUAAUAAUCCCUCUUUAAGGCACAACUUAUUGUAUCUUAAAUUGCUGUCAUUUUUCUCACCAUGUGAUAGCCAGAUAAAGUAAAUACACAAUUUUUAGAUCCUUAUCAGCUUUAAGAAAAAAAAAUGUUUUUUAAAAAUGAAUAUUGAGGCUCUGUUUAAUGUUGUUGAAUCUAUUAUUAAACAGCCCCCUGAUAUCUUAAUAAAGAAAAGGCUAUUUACCAAAGGAGUAUGUUAAAGAAAUUGCUAGCUGUUCUUUCAAGGUUAUUUUUCAAAUCUUGAAAUUUGAUGCAAACUGUUCUGCUUUGUAUUGAUGAAAAAUAUAAUCAAAGAUCUGUUGUUCAACUUCAGGUUAGCUAUAUGAUUGUACUACAUUAUAGGAAUGUAAACAAACAUAGAAAACCCUCUCUGCUGACUAGAUGUACCUUAGGUUUGCAAAUUACCUACCAACGCCCUUUGGGAUAAAGGCCUUCAUGAAAUCAUUGUCAAUAACUUACUGUUGGGUUGACUUAUGUUAUAGGUUGUUCUUCAAGAUUUCGCAGGAGAGAGAUUAAAUGUUAUAAAGCACAAAGUACAGAAGCUCCAUAGGGCAAUCUAAAUGAUGUUAUAGGAACCGAACUAUAUUACAAAGAGGAAUAUUAAACGUAUUUGUAAUCUUCUGUUGUCAUAUGAGUGCCAGGCCCCUUUCUGUCUAAUGGAUUGCAUAGAUAUGCAAAGGAGAAAUAAUAAAAGCUAAUCAGUUUUGUUUUAUGUAAAGCUGUUAAUAUGUAGAUACUUGAGUUCCCUUAAAAAAAAAAAAAUCUGAGUAUUCUAAUGAGGCAUGUUGACGUUGUGUAAAUUGCUUGGAGAAGAGGAGCUGCUGUAAUCACUUCACUUGAAAAGUGAAUAUACUUAAAAAGAAAAUAGGAUGACACAGACGAUGUUGUACAUCUGUGCUAAAAUUACUGUGAAUUAGACCAGUCUCAGUUAACCUGAGACAGUUGGUGUAAUGCUGGUGGGGGCUUUACCAACUGGGGAAACAAACCAAAACUGUACCCCUCUCUUUAGUGUAGAGGCACAUGGAUGUGAAGAGUGGGAAUCAGUGCGAUGGCCCCAGCAUGCUGGAGAUAAAUGUGGAAGUGAAAUAUUUUUGUCUGUAACAUGGGGGAAGCUGGAAGGGAAGGUGACACUUCUGUUGGUCACAGUAAUUUCCUGGCAUGCUUACCAGCCCUGCAGCUGUGCAGUGGCCCACCAGUGGGCCAAGGAAUAGUUAUGGUGACGGCUGCACCGAGUGAAGAAAACUGAGUUGUGGUGUGUGUUUGGAGGGAAACUGCAAAAAAAUUUUUAAAAUGGGCAAGUUGUAAAACAACUGGCUUCUUUCCUAGAUAGCUACUGCAGAGCAGGAUUGUCUCCACUACACUUAAAUGUCAGGAAUAUGCUGAGGGAAUACCUUUUGUGUGCACUGCUGCACACAUUAAAGAAAACCUGGGCUCUGUGGAAGACAGCCCUCCCCAUCUGUGGUGCAGACUAUUUUCUUUGAGUCAGCAGGUCUUAUAGGAGGCACUGAAUAUCCUGGGAGCCAAAUGUGAACCGCUGAGAAAUCCCAAGGUCUUUGGGGCAUCUGCCUCCUACACUUCCAAAUAGUGGAGACACUCCCUGUUAGUGGCCAGGAAAUGCAAACAUCCAUAAUGUAAUAAUCACUUAUACCUCACCAUGUUAUUCAUUCUGUGAUGCUCUUCAGCUUCCAGGAUUUAACAGUAUUUUUCACAGACUUCAUUCUGGAUAAAAUCUGCCUUCAGCCAUCCAGUGGAGACCCACGUGAGCAGGAAUUCCUGUGGCAGAGAGAUUUGGACCUUGUGCUGAUCUCCCUAAGAGGAAUCGAUAAGGCUAUUUGUGUGGAAGUGAAUCAAGCUGUUAAAGUUGCUCAGCUGCCAGAGGUGACUCUGAUAUUUCUUCCUCUGAAGGUAAAGAUCACUCCAGCUUGUUUCUAAUUGUGUAAUACAGCUUCAGUAAAAUGCUACUAUAAGCUGUGGUAGACAGUCCUGAAUUAAUUAUUCAUCUGGAUAUUAAAAUAUGUAGGCAAAAUCAAAUAUCUUCAAAUCCAUGAUAACAUGGAUCCUACACCUUAAUAUACGUUCAAUUUUUUGCAGUUCCCAGCGUGUCUAGAUUAGUAUAGUUUUCAGAGAUUGCAGCUUCCCUGCCUUUUAGAGAGACGAGCAAGUGCUGUGUGUAAUGUGACUGAUUCACUUGCCUUCACUUGAUGUCUUGGUACUGCAGAGUUUAUGCUGAAACCAGCAGUGGAGGGAGCUAUGUAGUACAGAGGAUGCUGAACUGGUCUGAGGAGCUGGCGUCUCUGUCCAAGGGUAUUUGCUGCCAGCUGUUGCACUGCUGUCCCACAAGUGCCUUGCUGGCCUUUAAAGGGCUCUUAGCCAACAGGGCUGUGUUUGGAGUGGUCUGAUAUCAAUGAAAAGCAAAGUAUUUUCCCAAAUCUUGGGAAAGGGGAAAGAAUGCUGCUUUUACCUCUGUUGCAUCUCCAUUCUUUUGGAAUCUCUCCUUUUUAAGAACAAAGAAGAACUGGGGAAACUCUAGCUGUCUGCCAAAAUAAAAGUCAAAAGAAGGAUCACUGUAUUUGGAGAUCUUGAUCUCAUUACCUGAAGAAUUUGUGCUGCAAACGGCUGCAGUCUUCUAGUGUCUUUUAAAAUGAUACAUGCGAUAUAAAACAUUUUAACAAACAAAUAUGUGCUUCUGCAGGAGGAAUGAAUGUGUUUUGAAAGUCUAUCAGUAUAAUUUCCCUGAAGUUUUUAAAUGAGCAGGCAAGAUAAAAUGGUUUCAGGAGAAUUUUGUUAAUAGCGAUGUUUUGGUUUCAAGGAAGGAAACUAGAACUGUGAAGAUUUCACUUGGCAAUGUAGAAAAAAUACAUAAAAGUAACAAAAAUAAACAUGUCAGUUUUCUCUCAACUUUAAUGCUGUAAAGAAAUACAACCAAUAAAAAAUGGCAGCAACUGUACAAUGAUUGUGUUUUGAACAGAUUUAUACCAUAGGUUCUAACCAACAUAUGAGUUAAAGCUCUAAUACAUAUUACAAGAAACUAAGCUGCUUUUUCACGCCACGCUGUGUACCUGCCCACCUUGAUUAUAGUUUAAUAGAUGAUAAGAUUUGAUAGUUCUCUGGUUGUUCAACAUGUAUCCUCAAUUUUUAGUUUAUUUCCCCACCCUGCCUGGGAUGGCAGUCAUUCCUGUAGAGAAAUUCAGAUGAUGUCUAAGGAACACUGAAUUGUGUUAGUACUUCUCUUCGUUGCCCACUUCCCUGGAAGUAGUUUUAAACAGCAAGAUUAUCUUACUGAGCUUGUUUUAAUAUUUCUUUACUUUAGUGGGGGUGGAACAUGUGCUGCUAGUACUGUUCAUUAAACAAGUAAGAUGUAUAGCUCCUACUGUAUUUAAUUUGUUGAAACUGAUUUUGUCACUUUUUAAAUGUGCCUUGUAUUCCACUGUGAUACUAAAAAUAAAUGCAUAUUUGAAA